UACGUAGGGUGCAAGCGUUGUCCGGAAUUAUUGGGCGUAAAGAGCUCGUAGGCGGUUCGUCGCGUCGGCUGUGAAAUCCCGAGGCUCAACCUCGGGUCUGCAGUCGAUACGGGCGGACUGGAGUACUGCAGGGGAGACUGGAAUUCCUGGUGUAGCGGUGAAAUGCGCAGAUAUCAGGAGGAACACCGAUUGCGAAGGCAGCUCGCUGGGACGUAACUGACGCUGAGACGCGAAAGCGUGGGGAGCAAACAGG
rnacentral:rRNA from 1 species